rnacentral:lncRNA from 1 species
UGGAGCAUCUUCAUGGACUGCAUGGCCACACUGUGGAAGGACUUGCAUCUGAAACUUCCCUUGCAUCUGUCCAAUUGUUAGAUCUUUAUCCAGCCUGUCAACACCAGCUAAAAGCAAAAGCUUUGGAGUUGGACAGCUUAGGAAGAGGUUAGAUAAGCCCCUGAACCAUCCAUCCCAGUACUUCUCUGUUUUCGCCAGCUCAAUUCGCCACGUGUAUAAGUGCUCCUUCUUUGUCUCAGUGUCAUCUUCCUUCUUCCUUUUGUUCACAGAGACUCCCCCUUCAUCAUCCUCUUCCUCCUCCUCCUCUUCUUCAAUAAUGCCCUCCACAAUGGCUUUAGGACCUUCAGGACUGGCAGCACCUUCACACUGUUUGACUUGACCGACCAUAGAAACUCUGGCAGAUUCCAGAUUUCUUAUUUGUCCACUUUUUACACUCCACUCAAUUGCAUUCUCAAGUGACUUGAACGUUUUGGGACGACUCCUUAAGAAGUUCUGCAUGCUGUUCAGUGCAUCCAUGGCUG